UACGUAGGGGGCGAGCGUUGUCCGGAUUUAUUGGGCGUAAAGCGCGUGUAGGCGGCUUGGUAGGUCUGCUGUGAAAACUCGGGGCUCAACCCCGAGACGUCGGUGGAAACCACCUGGCUAGAGUCCGGAAGAGGAGAGUGGAAUUCCCGGUGUAGCGGUGAAAUGCGCAGAUAUCGGGAAGAACACCCGUGGCGAAGGCGGCUCUCUGGGACGGUACUGACGCUGAGA
rnacentral:rRNA from 1 species